rnacentral:sRNA from 1 species
UUAAAUAUAAUUAAUAUUUUGGAUAUUAAAUUAAUGUUUGGGUUUUUGAAUACUCUUUUUGGGUAACGGGUAAUUUCUGGACCAAUCGGAUAUCCACGGGUUUACUAAAACUCUACCCAAUAAGGAAAUUUCCUAAAAUUUUAACCCGCCCUAACCCGGUUUUUUGGUUCGGGUAUUGGGUUGGUUAUCGGGUCCGUAUUUUGUCAGCCCUAUCAAAGAUAAUCUAAUAUAUGCUCCAAUUAGGUCCACAAAUAUAACCAAAAUACUAUACAAAGACUAAUUCUAAGUUAGGCCAAAAAUUAGAUCCACUAAUACAAAGGAAACAUGUUUCUUACCAAAACAACUUGUAUACAAAUUUUACACAUUUACUUAAAACUA